rnacentral:rRNA from 1 species
UACAGAGGUCCCGAGCGUUGUUCGGAUUCACUGGGCGUAAAGGGUGCGUAGGUGGCCUGGUAAGUUUGAUGUGAAAGCUCAGGGCUUAACCCUGAAAUGGCAUUGAAUACUACUGUGCUGGAGGUUUGGAGGGGGGACUGGAAUUCUUGGUGUAGCAGUGAAAUGCGUAGAUAUCAAGAGGAACACCAGUGGCGAAGGCAGCCCCCUGGGCUGACACUGACGCUCAUGCACGAAAGCGUGGGGAGCAAACAGG